GCUGGUAAAGUUCCAAUGCCCUCUGGACUAGCUGGCACAAUGUGAGGAUUUUCCAAUUUGGGAGAGAAAGAGCCUGUUCUCCAGGGAGGGCUCUUCAAGCUCUGUAAAAGCAGUUUCUGGACUGAGACACAGCAGAUCUCCAAGGAUUCAUCAGGCACCAGGCACUGCGAGUUCUUGAGAACAGAAUGGCAAAUGAGGAACACUUCCUGCUCUUGAGGUGCUCAUGUCUACAGGAAUAAUCCAUUCUGAUUUUACAAAGGAGAACAAGAGAGGUCACACAGUUCAAAAAGGUCCUGAGAAGUCCUGCAAAGAAAUGUCUCAAAAUUGGGUAAACCCUGCAUUCCAAACUGACUUCAUCAUGGAACCCCCUUCCAAAUAAUACUUUCAAGCCUUUUGAAGAACUACUUUUAAAAAAAUUACUAUUAUUAUUUUUUCUCUCCUCCCCUUCCCUGAAGAACUACUUUUUAUAAAGAACACACUUUGGGAAAUGGUGGUCUAAUGAAAUAGGUCAUGAAAACUGGAUAACCCCAGGAUUUUCUCAAGAAUCUACUCUCUCAUUCACGAUGUUCUGUGGAAGCUAAACUGGGUGGUAUAAGGCUCUAUCUGGCUUUUUCUUUUUCUGUUCUUCAGUCUGUAACAAUAACUCCCCGUGGGUUAAUGUUGGCAUCUAAAAGAAAAGAAAAAUAUGCACAUUAAGUCUCAUGAGGCUACCCAGUAUGUCUGUUCCUCAGGAAAGGGUCACAGCUGGUCGCAGUGGGAGAUCGUCCUUGCAGUUCCAUCAGUAUCUUUUAACCAAUGUUGAGAUCACAUUUCUUCUCUUUCUGUUUCCCUUCCUGCUACACCCCAGGCCAUCAGCUCUCAUGCCCUGUGUUUUUCCCCACAUUAUACAGAACCACAAGUGUUUAUCAAAAGCUGUUCUUUCCGUGUUCUGUAUUAUGUACAAAGGCUAAAAAUUUGACAGAGUAUAACUAAAUAAAUGGAAAUGUAAAAGCCUCA